GUUUAGAGGAGUUACGAGAAGUUUCUGGUGGUGGUUUGGUUCCAUACAUUUAUGCCCCAUGAUCUGGUGGUUUUGCUCCAUGUAUUUCCUAAAAAGAUGGCCAUGUUCUCCACCAUCCUAUAUUUUAGUUCCUUUGCAGUUAUACAUGUGCUUAUAAAUAUUGAAACCUGACCGAUCAAUAGUAUAUCCUGCUUUAUUAACAGAUUUCAUGUGGUUCUGAAAGCACCACACUCUAGCAAUUCGUUUACCAAGCUUGUCGUUGCUGCAAUUCCAAUAAUUUACAUAUCCAGCGAUGAACCCUAAAUUGAUGGUUCUAAAUCGAUUACUUGCUACAUUGCCAUGGGUUCAAUUGUGUUUAAGAUAGUUUUUACGAACCAAGGAUUUUUGUGGAGGUGGAUCAGAAUUUACCCCAUCUUUUGUUGAUCAGUUGACUCAUCGACGAGUCAGUUAUUUACUUCUUCCACGUUUUAUUGACUUCCACCUUCAUCUUAUCAAUCAACCCUAAAUUCUGAAUUCAUCAUGAUCUAAUGAAAGAAGAUGGCGUGUUCGCAAAUCUGAUCCCCUUCAGACAUCUUCUGCACCUCCGCAACCGACGACAAAAUCGACAAGCCUCUCCAUGUGUUAAACAAUAUAGCCGCCGGGUAACGAGGGAGUGUUUUGAUCGUUUGCUUUGCGUGUGUGUAUGUGAUUGUGUUUUGUUAGAUUUUGGUAUCGCGUUUUGAAACUAAUCAUCUAAUUUUGUUUUAAAACCUAGAAAUCGCAGGUCUCAAAUCUACGUUGCCUAAUUCAACUGUUUCAGAGAUGUAAUUUGAUGGCAAAAAUGAAACCCUCACCCCAACUGAAUUUGAAUCUUGAAGUGGCGUUUGAGUUCGGCGGCUACAAAUGGUAUGUUUUUAUUUUUUAACUGUCUUCUAUCUGUUGUCAUAUUUGUUAUCUUUUGUUUGACAUGCUGAUGGUAUCCUAAUAUAUAUUCAUAUCAUGGGAAUUUUGUGAAACAAUUAACUGCUCAUUUUCUUUUUUACUUAAACUUUCAUCUUGAAACAAUUCGAAGCUAGCAGGCAUCCAGUGAUUAGUGUCAUUUUUUUUCCCUUUGAGCCAUCUUGUAUUGGACCAGAAACCAUGCCUGUACCGGUUCAUGUUGAUUUUGAGCCAAGAUGUUUCAUGGCAUUGUUGUUUGUUGGUGUGAGUGGACGGGCCAUAUUUGAGUUAGGCACAGGUGUUUAGUGAUAACUGUUGGUACUAAUGGGCCAAUGGCGUCUGAACUAGGGUUUUUGGUGCCUGAUAAUGAUCCAUUUGCGAACUUGAACUUGAAUUUUAAAUGCGAUCAGAGUUUUUGUAUCCUGGUGCUGUGGAAAGAUGCCCUAAAAGUUGUUACUUUCUGGUAAGAUUCAAUUUCAGAUCAUAAUCAUAUUGUUCCUACAUCUGUUGCAAAGUAUGCUAAUGGCCUAAUGCAUUGUUGAAGUAGCAUAAAUUAGUUUCAGAUUAUAUUAUAGAACCAAAUAUAAACCAUAUGCAUCAAUGAGUCUAUUUGUUAUGACCUGCUUGAGUUUACCAUUUGUUUUUUUUAUUGUUUUUAAAAAUGGAUCGACUGAUCAGGCCUUUUGGAAAAGGAACCAGUUAUCACUUGUCUUUUACUUUUAAGAGAGUUUAUGCAUGUGCAUCUGGUGUGUCACCAGAAGCAACCUGCCAUUCAAUUAGAACAGUUAAGAGCAAUCCUACAUUAACUAUUGUUGUUUAGUGUUUUAAUCACAACUAUUUCUUUUUAUAUGUAAAAAUUUGGUUAUUUUAGCAUGCUAACCACAUUUUAUGGAGGUCAAAAUGUAACAGGUUUAUUGAAGACAAAAAUUCGUCAUCAUGAUAUGCUUUUAACCAAAGAAAAGUGAUAAGGAAUAUUGCGAAAGCAGAUCUGAGCUCUACAUGGUGUGGUUGUGAAGGUGGAGGGGGCUUUACCCACCAAAACCUUAAAACCAUGGGGUGGUGAGGGUGUGGGAAAGGGGUAAACCAACCAACCAACACACCCUUUUCCCCUACCCCUGUUGAAAUCUUCAAGCCCCAAGGGCACAUGCUGGACCACGUCAUGCUCGGGGUGGCGUGUUAUGUAUGUAGUCCCUUUUUUUUAAAGAAUCUCAUUUGUACACUAACAUCAUUUUUAUGUUUUGGGCCAAUCGGAGUUUCCACCUGAUCUGACGAGCACAACAUUUGAUUACUGAAAUAAAGAUGAUUUUAGAGUUGCAGACAUUUUUCUGCAGUUCAAUUAGACAUUCUGCAGUUCCGUCAACUGGCACUGCCCUGGCUAAUGGAACGCAUUUACCACUAUGGCUUGAGGAUGUUUUGGUAUGCGACAUCUAUGCAGCUGCGAAAUGGGCAUAGAAAAUAGUAGAUGUUCAACUAAGAAAUUGAGAACCUAAGAAUCGACACAUACAGGCCUGGGGGGAUCUUGUGGUCAGCAUGCAAAUACUACUAACAGUGCUGUUAGGAUUACAUAUAUUCCAUUAGGCUUCACAAUUUCUAUACAAGAAGAAGGGUCACAACAUAUGCUGAAGACAACUUGUGUUUCUUGAGAAAUGGGUUGAGAAAUAUCCGAGUACAAGAAUAGACUUUUUUUAUCACGGGUAUGGAGGUAUUGAUUAUAAUUUUUUAGCAACAUAUUAGCACUUUUUGAUAUUUAGAUGAAGGUAAGGCUAUGCAUGAAAUAUCACCAUGGGUGCUCUCCAACCUGUUUGACCCGUUUGAUACUUUUCUGCAGGUUAUUGGUAUAAUGUUUUAUGAGAGUGUAUUAGUUUUAUUAUUCUCAUAAUUGCAAAUAUAUGUACUUCAUUGGUUAGGGAUGAACAAAUUUUUUUAAGGCGACAACAACACCAUGCCAUCGGAUCGUGGAUGAGGUUGUCGACACCUCUUACUGGUGGAUGGACUCAUGGCGCAAAGAUUUUGGGGGCAUUAGCUUUGUAUUAAAAUGUGUUAAUUGUAAGUGUGUGCCUAAAUGAAUGAGGGGUACUCGACAAGUGUUGUAACUUUUGGCCUCUUAGUUCUUUGAGAGUGGCCCAUUGUUAAAUAAAGAUAUGCUUAGCUUUGUCGUCCAAUUUUUUUUUUAAUAUAAUUAAUGAUAUUUACACGUAUUUUCACUAUAGAUUUAAUCA